CUGAGAACAAGUUAAAUAAAACAAAACUUUCAACAACGGAUCUCUUGGUUCUGGCAACGAUGAAGAACGCACGAAAUGCGAUAAGUAAUGUGAAUUGCAAAAUUCAUGAAUCAUCGAAUCUUUGAACGCACAUUGCGCCCCCUGGUAUUCCGGGGGGCA
rnacentral:rRNA from 1 species